GUGCCAGCCGCCGCGGUAAUACGGAGGAUGCAAGCGUUAUCCGGAUUUAUUGGGUUUAAAGGGUGCGUAGGCUGUUCGACAAGUCAGGGGUGAAAGCCCGGCGCCUAACGCCGGAACUGCCUUUGAUACUGCCGAGCUGGAAUACGGAUGCCGUGGGAGGAAUGAGUAGUGUAGCGGUGAAAUGCAUAGAUAUUACUCAGAACACCGAUUGCGAAGGCAUCUCACGAAUCCGUCAUUGACGCUGAGGCACGAAAGCGUGGGGAUCAAACAGGAUUAGAUACCCUGGUAGUCCACGCAGUAAACGAUGAUAACUAACCGUCGGCGAUACACAGUCGGUGGCCAAGCGAAAGCGAUAAGUUAUCCACCUGGGGAGUACGUUCGCAAGAAUGAAACUCAAAGGAAUUGACGGGGGCCCGCACAAGCGGAGGAACAUGUGGUUUAAUUCGAUGAUACGCGAGGAACCUUACCCGGGCUCGAACGGUGCAGGAAGGAUCAAGAGAUUGUGACGCCCUUCGGGGCCUGCAUCGAGGUGCUGCAUGGUUGUCGUCAGCUCGUGUCGUGAGAUGUUGGCUUAAGUGCCAUAACGAGCGCAACCCUUGUCGCCAGUUACCAGCAAGUAAAGUUGGGGACUCUGGCGAGACUGCCACCGCAAGGUGUGAGGAAGGCGGGGAUGACGUCAAAUCAGCACGGCCCUUACGUCCGGGGCGACACACGUGUUACAAUGGCGACUACAGAGGGAGGCCACCUGGCGACAGGGAGCAGAUCUCGAAAAGUCGUCUCAGUUCGGAUCGGAGUCUGCAACUCGACUCCGUGAAGCUGGAUUCGCUAGUAAUCGCGCAUCAGCCAUGGCGCGGUGAAUACGUUCCCGGGCCUUGUACACACCGCCCGU
rnacentral:rRNA from 1 species